rnacentral:rRNA from 1 species
UGGGGAAUAUUGCACAAUGGGCGAAAGCCUGAUGCAGCGACGCCGCGUGAGGGAUGACGGCCUUCGGGUUGUAAACCUCUUUCAGUAGGGACGAAGCGCAAGUGACGGUAUCUGCAGAAGAAGCACCGGCUAACUACGUGCCAGCAGCCGCGGUAAUACGUAGGGUGCGAGCGUUGUCCGGAAUUACUGGGCGUAAAGAGCUCGUAGGCGGUUUGUCACGUCGUCUGUGAAAUCCUAGGGCUUAACCCUGGACGUGCAGGCGAUACGGGCUGACUUGAGUACUACCGGGGAGACUGGAAUUUCUGGUGUAGCGGUGGAAUGCACAGAUAUCAGGAAGAACACCGAUGGCGCAGGCAGGUCUCUGGGUAGUAACUGACGCUGAGGAUCGAAAGCAUGGGUAGCGAACAGG